rnacentral:rRNA from 1 species
GUAACACGUAGAUAAUCUACCCUUGAGUCGAAGAUAAGCACGGGAAACUGUGUCUAACACUCGAUACGGGAUUCGACCUGGAAAGGUAGAUCCCUGAAACUCGUGCUCAAGGAUGAGUCUGCGCAUGAUUAGCUUGUUGGUGGGGUAACUGCCUACCAAGGCGAUGAUCAUUAGGGGCUCUUAGCGGAGUCGCCCCGAGAAGGAAUCUGAGACACUAUUCCUAGCUCUACGGAGUGCAGCAGUCGCGGAACUUUUACAAUGCACGCAAGUGUGAUAAAGCGAACCAAAGUGUUUUUCGUAUAGAAAAACUUUUCUUCACUGUAAAAAUGUGGAGGAAUAAGGACUGGGAAAGACUGGUGCCAGCCGCCGCGGUAAUACCAGCAGUUCAAGUUGCAUCCCUUUUUAUUGGGUCUAAAACAUCCGUAGCUUGCCAUUUAAGUCUCUUGUGAAAUCCUACGUCUCAAGCGUGGGGCUUGCGGGAGAUACUGAAUGGCUAGAGAUCGGUAGACGUAGAGAGUACGCCGGGGGUAACGGUUAAAUGUGUUAAUCCUCGGUGGACUUACAAUGAGCGAAGGCACUUUACGAGGACGAAUCUGACAGUGAGGGAUGAAGGCCAGGGGCGCAAACGGAUUAGAUACCCGUGUAGUCCUGGCAGUAAACACUGCUCACUAAACAUCGGGGCCUCUUCGGGAGGAUUCGGUGCUGAGCGAAGGCGAUGAGUGAGCUACUGGGAGUAUAGUCGCAGAUCGGAACUUAAAGGAUGGCGGGGGAGCCACAGGGCGAUUCGGUU